rnacentral:rRNA from 1 species
UAACACGUAUGCAACCUGUCCGAGAGUGGGGAAUAACCCGCCGAAAGGUGGGCUAAUACCGCAUAUGGUCGCCGGUGAGAGACCGGUGGACAAAAGCCUUCGGGCGCUUUCGGAGGGGCGUGCGGCCGAUUAGCUAGUUGGUGAGGUAACGGCUCACCAAGGCGACGAUCGGUAGCUGGUCUGAGAGGACGGCCAGCCACACGGGGACUGAGACACGGCCCAGACUCUUACGGGAGGCAGCAGCAAGGAAUUUUGCGCAAUGGGCGAAAGCCUGACGCAGCAACGCCGCGUGAGGGAUGAAGGCCUUCGGGUCGUAAACCUCUUUUGCAGGGGAAGCAACUGACGGUACCCUGCGAAUAAGCCACGGCUAACUACGUGCCAGCAGCCGCGGUAAUACGUAGGUGGCAAGCGUUGUCCGGAUUUACUGGGCGUAAAGCGCGCGCAGGCGGCGCGCCAAGUCCUGGGUGAAAUCUCCCGGCUCAACCGGGAGGGGUCUCAGGAUACUGGCGUGCUUGAGGGGAGCAGAGGAGAGCGGAAUUCCCGGUGUAGCGGUGAUAUGCGUAGAUAUCGGGAGGAACACCAGUGGCGAAGGCGGCUCUCUGGGCUGUACCUGACGCUGAGGCGCGAAAGCGUGGGGAGCGAACCGGAUUAGAUACCCGGGUAGUCCACGCUGUAAACGUUGGGCACUAGGUGUGGGAGGUAUCGACCCCCCCUGUGCCGUAGUUAACGCAAUAAGCACUCCGCCUGGGGAGUACGGCCGCAAGGCUG